UACGAAGGGGGCUAGCGUUGCUCGGAAUCACUGGGCGUAAAGGGUGCGUAGGCGGUCGGGUAAGUCUGAUGUGAAAUCUCACAGCUUAACUCGGAACUGUCAGCUGAUACUGAUGUGCUAGAGUGCGGAAGGGGCAAUCGGAAUUCUUGGUGUAGCGGUGAAAUGCGUAGAUAUCAAGAGGAACGCCUGAGGUGAAGACGGGUUGCUGGGCCGACACUGACGCUGAGUGCGCGAAAGCCAGGGGAGCAAACGGG
rnacentral:rRNA from 1 species